rnacentral:tRNA from 1 species
AGGCGCGUGGCCUAAUGGUUAGGGUGUUCGGCUUACGAUCGUAAAGUCGUGAGUUCAAUUCUCCACGUCGC